UUGAAUUAUAACAGCUCUAAUAUCUGCUUCUUGCGUUUCCUCUUUGAGGUUUAGAGAUGAUGUGUGGAAGGAAUGACGAAGUUAGGGUUGAAAUGGAAUACCUAAAGCAGUGCCACAAGAACAGAGUGAUAGGAUCUUUCCUUGGCUCCUUUUCUUUCAAAUCAUCAAGAGAAGCACUUAACAUAUCUAUUUCACUGAUUGUUUUAUUUUAACUAAUUGUUUACAGUUUUCUUUUAUUAUUGAAAAAAAGAGUCAUGGAUCUAGAAAAUUUUAAGUUUAAUGAUAUCUCAAAUGAUUUUGUUGUCAUAAAAAACAUUGUUGUUUGAACGCAAUUAAAAUAAACCAAUGGUUGUCCAUAGUUUAAACUCAACUAUCAAGAAAUUCAAAGUGGAAAAAUGAAAAGGAAACUGUUGUAGCUCUCUCAAAAGCUGAACCAACAACAGGAGCAAAUGUAAUUUUACUUUGUGUCAAGUUUAGUUUUCUUAAAGUAUUACAGAAGGAAAAAAAUCAUUAUUUCCAAUUUCCUGAUUUCAUAGAAAAAUUUAAGAUCUAUCAACUUCUGAAAAUUCUAUUUUGUUUUUUUUCUUUCGGAGAUAUAAAGCAAAAAGUAGUUUGAGAGUAGAACGGAAGGCGUGAGAUUGACGACACUUCAUGUCAACCUAAUUAACGGUUUCAAAACCAGUAUUGAUUUUGCACUCUGUACCGUUUUGUAUAGUUCCGAAAUCGCUCAUUCGUUAUCAACUCUACUAACAUUACACCUUUUUCCCUUCAAGAACACAAGAUAAAUUUUCAGUAAGUUCAAUGGAUAGUUAAUUAACGUCAAAGUGUGAUCAAGUCAGCAAAAAAAAAAAAAAAUAUAUACUUACAUUAAAAUGAAAGUAUAUUGGUGUAAAUGAAUUUUCGUAUUUAUGCAAACAGCUUAAAUGAAACUUAAAACCUUCCUAAUGAUUGUCUUCUCGCUUACUUGAUAACACUUCCGUGUUACUUAACUUUGAAGUGGCGCUAAUGAACAUUUAUCUUGCGUUCUUGAAGGACAAAACUGGGGUGUAGUUCUUUCUGAAAGUUAGUGAUUGUUUUUGGAAUUAAAGUCUCUUUUUCCGCUCCAGUGAGAGAAAUGAAGAUUCUUUCGUAGCUUGCAUCGGAGCGGAAAUACUUUUCACUGAUAGUGACAGGGGUUACUGAUUUUUUUUUAGAAAAUAACCUAUAUUGAGUAGCUUAAUACAACCCGGAAACUAACAUGAAAGUGUAUAAAAAGUA